rnacentral:lncRNA from 1 species
UUUGGCUCUAAAUGUAGUAUAUGAACCAAACAAAUGAAUAUGAAUGCAUUUUACAGCACAAGCAAUUUGUCCUGCCACAGAAAAAUCAUUCUACAACAUCAUGCAUAGUAGAGGAGUUGUACCGAAUUAUUCAACCAAUAAUAUUUUCGCGCACUCAGUAGGCAGUAGCAGAGUGAUGUGCAUGUUUGACAGCAACACAAGCAACAAUUUGUCUCCAAAACUUUAACCCGGAAUACCCACCUUAAGACUAAUCAAAUUCAGCACUAGUAGGCAGUAGCUCGUUGCAUUCAAAUCCAGCACUACCAGCAAUUUGUCCAAUUUGACUGCACUACAAAUCCACCUACAGAUAAUAGAACUAGGAAUUAGGAGCAUGUGAUUUGAUCGGGAACUAGGAAUUAGGAAUUAGGAAUUAGGAACUAGGACAAAUCCAGCAGUAGCUCGCUCCGUGAUGCUCCAGGCGCUGCUACAAUUUGACCAGGCGCUGCCGCAUGAGCCCAUAUGAAUUAGGAAGUUAGAACUAGGAGAAGAGGAGAAUAGAACCUGGUCCGCUGCCGACCUGCCGCUGGUCGCCCGUUCAGCGGCUCCGCUUGCCGCUGCCUGCAAUCAGUACUGGUCGCCGCCGC